AGUUGGUCGGUCUGUCGCUGGUAGUAUAUACAAGAGGAAAGUCCGGGCAACGCAGAGCAUCCUACUUCCUAACAGAAAGCUAUCCGCGAGGGUAGAGUAAUGUAGAAGAAAAUAACCGCCCCCUCCGCAAGGAGCGGCGGCAAGGGUGAGAAGGUAGGGUAAGAGCCUACCAGCUGCCUGGUGACAGGCAGGCUGUACAUCUUAGGAGUUGUAAGGUCAUGUAAACCGGCAUCAACGAGGGUUGCUCGCCCCACGUCGGAGGGUAGACCGCUAGAGCCUGUCGGUGACGGCAGGCGUAGAUAAAUGACAGACACUCUGUAACCCAGAGUACAGAACCCGGCUUAUAGACCGACUGCU
rnacentral:RNase_P_RNA from 1 species